rnacentral:rRNA from 1 species
UCUAGUUAGCAUUAUACCGUGAAACUGCGAAUGGCUCAUUAAAUCAGUUAUCGUUUAUUUGAUAAUACCUUACUACUUGGAUAACCGUGGUAAUUCUAGAGCUAAUACAUGCUGAAAAUCCCGACUUCGGAAGGGAUGUGUUUAUUAGAUAAAAAACCAAUGCCCUUCGGGGCUUUUUGGUGAUUCAUGAUAACUUUACGGAUCGCAUAGCCUUGCGCUGGCGACGGUUCAUUCAAAUUUCUGCCCUAUCAACUUUCGAUGGUAAGGUAUUGGCUUACCAUGGUUUCAACGGGUAACGGGGAAUUAGGGUUCGAUUCCGGAGAGGGAGCCUGAGAAACGGCUACCACAUCCAAGGAAGGCAGCAGGCGCGCAAAUUACCCAAUCCCGACACGGGGAGGUAGUGACAAUAAAUACUGAUACAGGGCUCUUUUGGGUCUUGUAAUUGGAAUGAGUACAAUUUAAACCUCUUAACGAGGAACAAUUGGAGGGCAAGUCUGGUGCCAGCAGCCGCGGUAAUUCCAGCUCCAAUAGCGUAUAUUAAAGUUGUUGCAGUUAAAAAGCUCGUAGUUGAAACUUGGGCCUGGCUGGCGGGUCCGCCUCACCGCGUGCACUCGUCCGGCCGGGCCUUCCUUCUGAAGAACCUCAUGCCCUUCACUGGGCGUGCUGGGGAAUCAGGACUUUUACUUUGAAAAAAUUAGAGUGUUC